UACGGAGGGGGCUCGCGUUGUUCGGAAUUACUGGGCGUAAAGCGCACGUAGGCGGAUCGAUCAGUCAGGGGUGAAAUCCCAGGGCUCAACCCUGGAACUGCCUUUGAUACUGUCGAUCUGGAGUAUGGAAGAGGUGAGUGGAAUUCCGAGUGUAGAGGUGAAAUUCGUAGAUAUUCGGAGGAACACCAGUGGCGAAGGCGGCUCACUGGUCCAUUACUGACGCUGAGGUGCGAAAGCGUGGGGAGCAAACAGG
rnacentral:rRNA from 1 species